rnacentral:rRNA from 1 species
GAGUGCUUCGGCACUUAGUGGCGGACGGGUGAGUAACGCGUGAGAAUCUGGCUUCGGGUUCGGGACAACAGUGGGAAACUGCUGCUAAUACCGGAUGUGCCUAAGGGUAAAAGAUUAAUUGCCCGAAGAUGAGCUCGCGUCCGAUUAGCUAGUUGGUGUGGUAAGAGCGCACCAAGGCGUCGAUCGGUAGCUGGUCUGAGAGGACGAUCAGCCACACUGGGACUGAGACACGGCCCAGACUCCUACGGGAGGCAGCAGUGGGGAAUUUUCCGCAAUGGGCGAAAGCCUGACGGAGCAAUACCGCGUGAGGGAGGAAGGCUCUUGGGUUGUAAACCUCUUUUCUCAGGGAAGAACACAAUGACGGUACCUGAGGAAUCAGCAUCGGCUAACUCCGUGCCAGCAGCCGCGGUAAUACGGAGGAUGCAAGCGUUAUCCGGAAUGAUUGGGCGUAAAGCGUCCGCAGGUGGCUUAUCAAGUCUGCUGUCAAAGCUCAGGGCUUAACCCUGAAUCGGCGGUGGAAACUGAAAAGCUAGAGUGUGGUAGGGGUAGAGGGAAUUCCCAGUGUAGCGGUGAAAUGCGUAGAGAUUGGGAAGAACACCAGUGGCGAAAGCGCUCUGCUAGACCGCAACUGACACUCAUGGACGAAAGCUAGGGGAGCGAAUGGGAUUAGAUACCCCAGUAGUCCUAGCCGUAAACGAUGGAUACUAG